rnacentral:rRNA from 1 species
GACGAACGCUGGCGGCGUGCUUAACACAUGCAAGUCGAACGGAAAGGCCCUGCUUUUGUGGGGUGCUCGAGUGGCGAACGGGUGAGUAACACGUGAGUAACCUGCCCUUGACUUUGGGAUAACUUCAGGAAACUGGGGCUAAUACCGGAUAGGAGCGCCUGCUGCAUGGUGGGGGUUGGAAAGUUUCGGCGGUUGGGGAUGGACUCGCGGCUUAUCAGCUUGUUGGUGGGGUAGUGGCUUACCAAGGCUUUGACGGGUAGCCGGCCUGAGAGGGUGACCGGGCACAUUGGGAAUGAGAUACGGCCCAGACGCCUACGGGAGGCAGCAGUGGGGAAUAUUGCACAAUGGGCGGAAGCCUGAUGCAGCAACGCCGCGUGCGGGAUGACGGCCUUCGGGUUGUAAACCGCUUUCGCCUGUGACGAAGCGUGAGUGACGGUAAUGGGUAAAGAAGCACCGGCUAACUACGUG